rnacentral:rRNA from 1 species
AUUUUGUCCUGAACACAGUGCUCUCACCUGAUUUCAGAAGCUAAGCAGGUUUAAGCCCGGCUAGUACUUGGAAGGGUGAUCACCAGUUUGUACCAGCAAUC